rnacentral:rRNA from 1 species
AUUGAACGCUGGCGGCGUGCCUAACACAUGCAAGUCGAGCGGUAACAGGUGUAGCAAUACAUGCUGACGAGCGGCGGACGGGUGAGUAACGCUUGGGAAUCUGCCUAUUAGUGGGGGACAACCCGGGGAAACUCGGGCUAAUACCGCAUACGCACUACGGUGGAAAGCCGGGGACCGCAAGGCCUGGCGCUAACAGAUGAGCCCAAGUCGGAUUAGCUAGUUGGUAGGGUAACGGCCACCAAGGCGACGAUCCGUAACUGGUCUGAGAGGACGACCAGUCACACCGGAACUGAGACACGGUCCGGACUCCUACGGGAGGCAGCAGUGGGGAAUAUUGGACAAUGGGCGAAAGCCUGAUCCAGCGACGCCGCGUGGGUGAAGAAGGCCUGCGGGUUGU